AUGCAUCACGAGCAACAAGUCCUCCAACUCAUACGACCGUAUGGGUCGUUUGUCACUAUCCAUAAAUACGACCCACACGAGCGUUCUCUAAAUUAGCGCCCCUAUUGGCAACAGGAGGUAUGAUAAAUGAACUUUCGCCUAAAUGCAUUGUGGGUUUAUUUUAACAUGUUUGCUAUUUGCGUUUUGAAUUGUUUGAUUUAAACUCUCCCAGAUGUUCGUGGAUUUUGAUGAUAUGGAUUUUAGAUGACUUCGAGACAUGUACAGGUAAGGUUUUCUCCCGUCUCAUAAAGUAGUCGAUCGUUUAUGAAUAAUAUGAGUUUUUAUUUUCAAAUCGAUACUGGACACUGUAUGUCCUAUUAAACCAGUUUGACGUUCAAAUCAUUUAAUCGAAAUCUGCAGCUUUAUAAAGUUAGUUUUCAUUGUGAUAUUCGUUUGAAAUUCGCCUGUGGUGGAAAGAGGUCAUGUAAAAGUCGCGCAUUUACCAUGUUUUUACCAUAGUAACAUGUCGCUGAACCAUGUCACGUGUUAUAAAACCUCAGUAACCACAACUCAAUGUAUCUCCCGUCAUAACUGUAGUUUUACUUUGGUAUUUGUAGUAUAAACACGUUACCAUGCUUUUCACCACAGUAACUGUGCUUAUUGUGUACUCUUUAGUUAAGUAACACAUUUGCCAUGCCUUUAAUACCUUUUUGUAAUGUAAUUGUGAUUCAGUGUUUUUUUUCUUUUCAGUUUUGCAGUUUCUUCAUAUCACAUACAUCUCCAGCUCCUACAACAACAUUCAGUGUCCAGCAGCUCUUUAUGAUGCUCUCGCUCUCUCUCUCUCUCUCUCUCUCUCUCUCUCUCUUUCUCUCUCUCUCUCUCUCUCUCUCUCUCUCUCUCUCUCUCUCUCUCUCAUUUUCCUUUCCUAUUUUUCUGAACUGUAAUUCAUAAAUAAGUCACACAUAUUUUUCUUUCUUUCUCUUGUUCAUCAUGGCAUAUUUUCACAGCUCAGAAUCAGAUUUUGAUCAGUUCUUGUAUUAACAGGGAACUUGUACUCGAAGCUCAACUUGAAGAAGUUUCCAGUGAAGAUGAAGUCCUUCAAAGGUUCGACACAGCUGAAAAGGAAGACCAUGGGCCUGUCAAACCUUGUUUGUGGAGAGGGAUGAAUUUGACCAUCUUGUGUGUUUACGGAGAAGACCAAAAGCUGCUAAGGCAGAUAUUUCCAGAGGUACAAACAGAGCGGAUGGUUGCAUGAUGGCCUCUUUCAGGUUUGUCAACUGAAUGUCUACUAGUGUGGCUCAGCAAGUUCCUGUCAUGAUCAGCCCUCUCCAAGAAAGCUGAAGAGCAAAAACACAAAGAACAUCAGUCCUGUUGGGGAUGAGGAAUGAACAUGGCUCUAUUGUGCCCAAACAGAAAAGAGUGAAAAGACUAAAGAGAAGCGGGUCUGAGGCCAGAGAUGGAGGAGUCAAUGGUCACCAAAUGCAGCGCUGCAGCCUGAAACUGUGAAGACUGAAUUCCCAAACAGCUGUGUGACUGCACAGAUGUUACGGCCAUAAAAGAAACUUCACAACUGAGAGCCAAUACCUCCAACAACCUUCAACAGGAAUCAAUGGACAUCUACGCAAGGUUUUUCUUUUGUUGAGGACCGUCAGAGACUCCAGCCACACGAGCCAUGGAUUGCUCUCAACAUCACCAUCAGACAGACAUUAUCACAGAACCAGCACCAGCAGACUGCAAAACAAGUUCCUUCAACAGGCAAUCAGACUGAACUGAACUCGUACCAGUAACACCACACACACACACACACACACACACACACACACACACACAUACACACACCAGCAGCCUCAUACUGUGUGCACUGCACUCUAUCAGCUACACUGACUGGACUCUGACUCACUAUUAUUCUGCAACCUGAUAUUCUGUUUGCACUAAUUCAUACUGUACUGAAAGUGAAAGUGACGUGACAUACAGUCAAGUAUGGUGACCCAUACUCAGAAUUUGUGCUCUGCAUUUAACCCAUCCGAGGUGCACACACACAGAGCAGUGAACACACACACACUGUGAACACACACCCGGAGCAGUGGGCAGAGGUAUAUCUACAGUAUACAGUGAUUGUUGUUAAUUGUUUUCAUUUUGUUCUCUCUGUAUAGUAUAGUAUUGCACUAUAUUUUCUACCUGUAUUGAGCUCUUAUGUAUACGGUUUAUAUUUUUGAUACUGUAUAUGUGUUGCAAAUAUAUUCAGUACUUGUCAUGCUGCAGUUUGCAGAAAAGCAUUUUACCACCUGUAUACUUGCAUUCAUGGUAUUGUGAUAAUAAAAUGAUUUGAUUUGAAUUGGUCACAUGACUUGUUCAUCAGUUGUAUUGUUGUGCUGGAUAACAAUUGCAAAUUGUUUAUGACAUUGAAGAAGAUCAUGAUAGAGACAUGGAUUUGAAGAAAACCAGGAGAGCUCUGAUGAUGAGAAGGAAACUGGAUGUGAUUCUUUGGUGCUCAAGACAUUUCACCAUGCCUUCAUCUGGGUUUCUUCAUCUGAUUAAAAUAAAAUGGUUUUAAUGUAACCCAUUUUUAUUUCACUUGAAUAUAAUUUGUCUUAAUAUGCUUCUUUAUCUGUCUUUAUGCUGCAUCCUAGUAAAAUAUUGCGUAUGGUGUUGGAUAAUCAAGUAUGGUGAAUAUUCUGUACUAGAGAUGUUUUUUUGGUAGAUACACCAUUUAAUUUUGUAAACAACACAUAUAAUCACCAUGGUUGUUUUGAUGAAGACAUGAACAUUUAGUAAUAUUAAUGAAAUUCAGUUAGAUGAAGAGCUGCAUUAGAAGAGACUGCAUGGACUUCAUGCACAACUGAAGGUGAUGAAUCAAGGAAAGAUCAACAUGAAUCCUGUUCUGUAUUAUAAUGAAGAUGUUCAUGCACAUUACUGAUGUCUAGCUCCUGAGCAGGACAAAGAUGAGACAUUCUUUACAGAGAUUUAUGAAUUAGGUAUUUUAUAUUAUGAUUCUUUAAAUUGCAUGAAUUGUAUGGAACCAUAAACUGCACACUGUCACACAUUGUCUUACUGAAUGACACAUUGGCCUUGUCUGAUGAAAUGUCAGAAUAUGUAUUUGUUGUCUUUGUUUACUAUUAGCACUGUAUUAUUGCUCUUGAUCUUAUGAAAUAAAUUGAGCUCUUUCCAAAUGGGCACUUAUGUUGA